GACGUAGGGAGCAAGCGUUGUCCGGAUUUACUGGGCGUAAAGAGCGCGUAGGCGGUCUGUUAAGUGUAGAGUGAAAUCUCCAGGGCUCAACCCGGAAACUGCUCUGCAUACUGGCAGACUUGAGGGACUGAGAGGUGAAUGGAAUUCCUGGUGUAGCGGUGAAAUGCGUAGAUAUCAGGAGGAACACCCAUGGCGAAGGCAGUUCACUGGCAGUCUCCUGACGUUGAGGCGCGAAAGCGUGGGUAGCAAACAGG
rnacentral:rRNA from 1 species